rnacentral:rRNA from 1 species
UACGAAGGGUGCAAACGUUGCUCGGAAUUAUUGGGCGUAAAGCGCACGUAGGCGGCUUGGCAAGUCGGAUGUGAAAUCCCUCGGCUCAACCAAGGAAGUGCAUCCGAAACUGCUGAGCUUGAGUACGAAAGAGGAUCGCGGAAUUCCCGGUGUAGAGGUGAAAUUCGUAGAUAUCGGGAGGAACACCAAUGGCGAAGGCAGCUCGCUGGGACGGUACUGACGCUGAGACGCGAAAGCGUGGGGAGCAAACAGG